AUUGAACGCUGGCGGCAUGCCUUACACAUGCAAGUCGAACGGCAGCACGGGAGCAAUCCUGGUGGCGAGUGGCGAACGGGUUGAGUUAAUAUAUCGGAACGUGCCCAGUCGUGGGGGAUAACGUAGCGAAAGCUACGCUAAUACCGCAUACGAUCUAUGGAUGAAANCGGGGAUCGCAAGACCUCGCGCGAUUGGAGCGGCCGAUAUCAGAUUAGGUAGUUGGUGAGGUAAAGGCUCACCAAGCCGACGAUCUGUAGCUGGUCUGAGAGGACGACCAGCCACACUGGGACUGAGACACGGCCCAGACUCCUACGGGAGGCAGCAGUGGGGAAUUUUGGACAAUGGGCGCAAGCCUGAUCCAGCAAUGCCGCGUGCAGGAUGAAGGCCUUCGGGUUGUAAACUGCUUUGUACGGAACGAAACGGCGAGCUCUAAUACAGUUUGCUAAUGACGGUACCGUAAGAAUAAGCACCGGCUAACUACGUG
rnacentral:rRNA from 1 species